rnacentral:lncRNA from 1 species
GGCGGACGACGAGCAACCGAUCGUGACAGGGAGGCGCCGGAGCCGAGGAGCCGAGGCUUCGGCGCGGUCCAGCGCCCUGGAGCGCCUCCGAGCUCUCCGGCAAGGCGGCCGCCGCUCCGAAAACGCCGACGACCGGUUCCAGAUCAAGAUGGAGAAGCCGAUCUACGACACGGUCGACGAGGACGAGUACGACGCCAUCAUCGCCAAGCGCCGCGAGGAGUUCGGGGACUUCAUCGAGGACGACGACGGCCUAGGGUACCGCGACGACGGCGAGGAAGAGGACUGGACCCGCCGCGGGCUUCCGACGUCGUCGGAUGAAUCGGAGGGCG